UCAGCCUGAAGAGACGUUCGAAAAUGUGGCGGAGGCGCCGGGUUGAACUCGACUACGCGAAAAAUGAACAAAGUCUAUUUCUGAACACUUAACGUUUCGCCAACUACAACACAAGGAAGAGCUUGAACUUUUGAUUGCACGGGUCUUGACACAGGAGCUGGCAGAUUUCUACAUUUUGAUUUGUUGGAGCAAGAAUAUUAGCCUCGUGGCCAACUUGGUUUGUGAGGUUGGUAAUAUUAGGUUCCUUUUGAAUGUUGUUAAUCCUUUAAAUGUGAAGUAGCCAAAUAAAAAUGUGUGCAACAUUCAGCAUCGGACAAAUCAAGACUAAAUUGAAAUGUGUUGUGUUGUGGUGACCUGACAAAUAUUUCUACUGCUGGGGUGUGACUGAGGAGUUGGGUCGCUGAUUGCAGUGGCACUGUUGUCCCAUCCUGAUGACCAGUGGUGACACAAACUGUGCACAGGGGCCAUCUGAGUCACUCCCGAACCUCACAGGACAACAUUUGUCUGUGCAACGCUUGCGCCAGACUUUUUCUAAUGUACAGACAAGUUGCUGGGGAAAAGGAUGCCUGGGUUACCAACGGAGCUGGAGACUUGCAAGAUUUCAUGUAGUUUGUGUUGACUUUGACCUGCUAAUGUGACAUCGGCACAGCUGUUUUGAGUCCCGCUUGGACAUUUUCCACUUGUCUGGUCUUCGCUCCUGAUUAUAGAAGUGGUGAUAUUCAUGACACUUAAUGGUGUCUUCCCAUUUGUUGGUUUGCUAAAAUUAAUCACAGUGGCAGCGAGAUGCCAAUGUAUCUGAUAUGGCCAAAGUCCAUAUAAUCAAUACUUUUAUUUGGGUUGUGAUGUACACUGCAUGUCCUCUUAAAAUAACUACUGUAAAUCUCUUAAACCUUUUUUUUUUUUUUUUUUUUUUAUAUAAACGUCUCAACUCAGACUCAGUACUAAAAAGUUAUAAAAUACUCAAUGCUAAAAGUUCAAUUCCAGACAAAAGACAUUCCCAUGGCCAAAUGUUAAAUUCUGAAUUUAUCAUGGUGCUUAAUAUUUCAAAGCUGCGGGUAAUGAUUACUUAACUGUUCACAUUAACACCCUUGUUGAUAGAGUACUACUGUUUUGCAGAGGUGACCAGACAAGCUUAAGUAUAUUGACGCGUUUGCAGUUUCUAUUAUCAGACACAGCUGCUGCUCCUGUCUUCAAUUUCUCUGUUAUUCUUCAAGGUGGUGAGGUUAAAGCUGAAAAGGAGUCAAGAGGACCAAGACCUGCUCGCACCGUUGCACCAAAAGCAAAUUUGGGUCUUUGAUGUACCGCAGCUGGAAUAAUUACUGCCCUUCCUUUAAUAAUCUGUGAAUAAAGAUUUGGACGAA